UACGAAGGGGGCUAGCGUUGCUCGGAAUUACUGGGCGUAAAGCGCACGUAGGCGGAUUGUUAAGUCAGGGGUGAAAUCCCGGGGCUCAACCCCGGAACUGCCUCUGAUACUGACGGUCUUGAGUCCGGGAGAGGUGAGUGGAACUGCGAGUGUAGAGGUGAAAUUCGUAGAUAUUCGCAAGAACACCAGUGGCGAAGGCGGCUCACUGGCCCGGUACUGACGCUGAGGUGCGAAAGCGUGGGGAGCAAACAGG
rnacentral:rRNA from 1 species